GAUUUUUUCUUCCUCUCAAGAUCGACGCUCUAGACAGUAUUCACUGUAAAUUUGGGUUUGAUUUUCGCAGUUGCAGACUUUUGUGGUGUUUUCAAUCUGAACCAGAGCUGUUCUUCAAAGUUUAAAGGAGUUCGCGGUGAAAAUUGAAGUUUGUGAAAAGAUGGUGAUCGAGGAAGGAGUGCUCGAAUUGGUACAAGAUGUUUGAAGCUCAAAGUCACGAUGAAGAUGAAGGGGAUGUGGCUAAGAGACCCCAAUAGGAUUGUACCAAUAUAGGAUAGAAAAUUAAAGGUUUCCAAUUACGUCAAUUAAGUUAAGUUAAUUGAUAUAAUAUUGGUUAAGAGACCCCAAUGGGGUUGUACCAAUAAACAUGCCCUAACAUAAACUAAAUACCAUCAACCAAACCAGGGACCUGUUUAGGAUUUGGUUGAAACUUUACUUUGUUGAACCAACGAUAGAGAACAAAAUGCAACCUUGUUGAAAAUUUAAUCUGAGUUAUGGUCUAUCAGCCUGACUAGGCGACUAGCGACUAUCCAUAAACCAAGAUUAUCAGAACAUGUAUAAAUAUAAUGGAGAUUAUAAUGUGUAGUACAUCUUUAUCUUUAUAUAUAAAAGAGACUUUCAAUCACUCCGGGUGCUGCCAACAGGGACGACACGUCAGAAAUUCGUUGCACGAGAGGACGACACGUGUCCGGCCAAUGACACACCGUUUCAUUUAUUUAUUUCUCGAAAUCUGAUGGGCCUGGCUUCUUAUUUUGUCUGAGCUUUAGCUUUAUUGAGCCCAUACCACUAUAAGCUUAAUAUGAUGUGUACGAAACGCGGCGUUUCUUAUUUUGUCGUUUCAUCGAUCUCCUUUCUCCGCCGACCGCCUUAGGAGAUUAUAGGGUUUCCAUCAAUUCAUUCGUCUCCUUUCUACUGAUCCAGAAAUCGAUCAGUUACGGAUUCAUUACUAUCAACCUCUGGCCUUCAUUGUCUUCUCAUCUACCCUUGCUCGCAAAUCUCCCAUUCGAAACGGUUUCUCUGUUAUUUAACACCAUCCUUCCAUCAUGGAUCCCCACUACGUAUUCAUCACACAACUCCUCUGUUAAUCCCAAUUUCUAAUACUAUAAAUAGGGAUGCAGAGCACACCCUAAUCUCAUCGUUAUUUACCAUCUCCUGCUUUCAAAAUUGAAGCCUGGUCAUUUUUAGAGAGGCAAUUUUACCCGGUUAGUUUGGUUUUGGGAGGCAGGGAGUGUGAAAAAGGAGAGGAGCUCAUGUGGCCUAACAUGUCGCUGCUUGAUGAAAAGACUACUGAAACAGAUGAUCUAGAAAGGAGAUUGGCUUGCUAGACUAAUCGGAGAAACAUGACCGUAUUUGUUGGUGACCCAUAUGCAAUAAAUGAAACAGCUACCUUUUCUGAGAAAUCAUGAUAAUGUAUACUGAUGUAACAAAUGAGUUAAAACUGGAUACACUUUGUUUUUGUAUCAUCUUCAACCUUGCAAGUAAAUUUCGUACACUGGUCUAAAUCAAAAGCCUCGAGGUUC